UUUGAAGCGCGGUCAUGCCCGUCGCGUCAUAGACUCACACGUAUGCACAUGCGGUGACCCAUAGAUUUCACAAGGAUAAAGAGUACCGUUGUUGCUUCUCAUUGCUGAUGAGCACCACGGAUCCGUACUCGCUGUCCCCGCAGAACAGUGCGGUGGAGGCGACACUCUUUCAACUGCUGUUUCCAGUUCACGUUACCCCUGCUACCCGAGUUGCUGUGGGAGACGUUAUUGCAGUGAAGACGCUAAGCGAUAAUUCUCCUGAGAGAAUCGCUGGGGCACUUGCGGUGUCGUCGCCGUCGGUCUCCGAGCGAAUUCGAGCGUGGGAGACAGUGCCUCAUGGGCGUGCAGCGCGCUCGUUCCGUCGCACGGAACGCACCGAGUUUCACAACCCUGACGAUCCCACGUUGCUACAUACUGUGCAUGCGCAGCAGCGGCAUGGCGCGUCUGCCGCGAAGGGUUCACGUGCGCGACACUCCGGUGCAGUGGGGCCGGAUCGCAGCACUGAUGCAAGUGCUGGCCCUAAUACAGUGCCGUUCUCGAUGCGUUUGCGAGAAGUGGAGCGGCGAUUUCAGGAACAGAUGAAGGUGCACCGCGGUCUGACGGCGGCGUCCCGCCAAGUCGAUGUCCUUGAGCGUUCUGUUCAACUGUUUCAAGCAGAGCGGCGCACGCGAGCGUUCGCGCAUGCACUUGCAGAGCGUCAAGACGCCAUCUGGGCCCGUGUGUGGCCUGGUGGUUCCCUUCCGAAGACGGAGGACACUGUAGCGACUGUGCAUCGUCAAACGGCAGCAUCGUCUCGUGCUGCACCCAUGCCGGCCGCGCGCCGUGGCGACAGCUCUGCGACACCUUCGACCAGCAGCGCUAUCUCACCCCCGCCCCCCGCGUCCCCGACGGGCUUCUUGCUCAAGGAUAUCCUAGACACCUACUCAAAGCCGCGUGAGCUUCGAGAGGCUAGCGGCAGCGGCCGAAGUGCGGCGGCUGCCGCUCCUGCUGCAUCAAAGGCGACGAAGGCGCCAAAAGGAGUCCCACUCGCCCUGGCACGAGAAGCGCGGAGGACUGCCGCUGAGGUAGAAAUUAUCCGCCCCGAGAAAACACCGAAACCUUACACAGUCAUCCGCUACGUCGAGGCAAGGUCGAAACACGCCUCAGCCACACACGACGCUGUCGACCGCCAGGGCACCUCGGCAUCCUCGGCUGUCACCCCGGCCACCGCGGCAGCGGUGUCCGCAGCGUACUCGAAAAACGUCGCGAGGGGGGAAGUGAAAGGGGACUCCUCGCAAGCGUUCUCCAGCGUUGUGAGCGAGGUGAAUGAAGCGGGCGAAGUAGGCGGAGGCAAAGCCUCCGAUCAGAGCAGUGCCAGCGUCGCCGAUGAAGCCGCGCCGAUGAAUGACACGUACGACGCGGACACGUUUGACUCGCACGUCUCCAGUGGAACAGCUGCGGAUGCUUCGAUGAGCAGCGCGAAGAGCUCUGCCGUGAGCAGCAUGAUUCCUACGGAGGAAGCGACGCCAUCCUCCCUGGCGCAGAGCAUCACCUCUGAAGAGAUCGAAAGUGCAGCUGCUGGGCGUCCGUUGAGGUGUAACCGCCGUGACGGUAAUAAGAGUAGCGGCGUCUCCGUGGCCGAUGACGCGCGCGCAGCACCCUUUGCUGAAACCCUGCAAACUUUCUUGGACGCCUGUCGGUGCGUCUCGGCUGCCUCUGCUCGACUGCUCCAGUCCCCGUAUAUUCGAGAGAGCAGCCAUGAUGCUGGUCAGCACAGACAAAACACCCCGAAGCCGGCGAAAAAAGAUGCCCCGCGUUCAGCCCCGAAGGCAGUGGAAGAUGCUGCAUCGUGUGUCACCGCGGAUGCAGCCACUGGUGCAGAUGUCUCUCCACCUGCUUGGCGUGACGCCCUGCACCGGCAGCUACGCAACAUACGUCGCCUUCAGCGCUUUCGUGAGCACCUGCUUCGCCACCUGAAGCGCAUUGAUGUGCAGCGGCAGACUCACUGCAAGGCGACACGACUGCUGCGGGAAACGCAAGCCCUCGCCAAAGUACGUCGUAAACUGCUCUCCGGCUCCAGAGUCGGGGGCGAAGCAUCCUUGGGGAGCAUGCUGCGUCACGUGAAGGGCGUCUCCACGGGAACAGGUGGGCGGAGGGGCCCGCGCCGCGGUGGCGGUGCGCAUGGCCACGGCGCUCUGCGGCAACAGCAUUCCCUGCCUUCGUGGCUGAGAAUGAGUGUCGUGAGCGACGCCGACACAAUAUCGGAGGUGGUACUCACCGACAUGAACAGCAGCGUCGGCGACGGCAUCAUCUCAGCUGACUCCAGCGUAGUGGAGGAGGAGAUGCAGUAUGGCAGCAAUCAGAGCGAGACUUUCGUCUCGGGCAGCAUCAUCCAGGAAGAGGUGGCCAGCUGGGAUGGGGCCUCCGGGCACAGCGACGUGGCCAGCGGUGGCACCGUCUUGACCGAAGUGUCCAGGAGCCAUGAGGGCGACGGCGACCCCUCUUACGGCAGCGACUCCUUUGAAGCAGCGAGUAACUCAGACGCCGCGGGACGUUCUGCGUGGAUCGCGCGGUCUGGUAUGGUGGCGGAAGUCCGCCUAGACGAGAUCGAGGAGGAACUCGCAGACCGAUUAGCCGAAAUAUCGUCGGAUGCCAUCUCCGAAGGGAGCUCGAUUCCGUCCGAGGUGGAAGAGCUUGUUGACCUGCUCCCCUCCUCACUCAUCCCAAGCGAAAUCGAAGACGACGACGCGAGCCCGCAAGGCAGCUCUGCAGCCACCAUGGACUCCUACAUUGCCACUGACAUGAGCAGUUCCGCGGCAGUCUUGCAGGGACAGCAACGACGCAUGUAUGUUGCUGCAAAUGGCUCCACCGCGUGGUAUGCAGCUGCCGGAGAAGGGGCAGCGGGUGGUGUCAGCGGGGCGCUGACGGAUCACAAGGCCUACAUUCGUGACUCUCCUGGCUCUAGUGUGUACAGCGUGCCGGAGGACGCCGAUGUGGACACAUCUAUGCCGCAGUCCACAGACGUCCGCUCGGAAGGCGCCCGAGACUCGCUGCCGAGGACGAGUGGAAGGGUAGCGGACCUUGACGCGGCAGCAUCCCUCGCGGCGGCGAACGAGAAGCGUAUUUAUGGAAGACCCAGUCCGACCCCCUCGGCCAAGAGUGACGGGAGCAGCAGCAGCUCUGAGGAUGCCUUGACAAUGUUGGAGGUGGACAUGACCCUUACGAAGGGGCGUCGGCACCACGCGUUACGCUGUGCCUCUGAUGUGCCGACGUUUGAGCAGCUCUACAGCCCAUCCAUGCCCCCGCUGGAUGAAGGGCCACUGACGGGAAGCGGCAACGCCAGCACCACUAGCUCUGCCGGCAGCGGCCGGUCCUCCAAACCAGAUCGACGGAAAGGUGGAUCUGCCCACAGUGUCGGCAUAGGGUGGUCGAACACCGCAGUCUCUUCCCUUCACGAACGAGGUGCAGCGCACCUUGUGCACCAUCCGACAGCGCGGAUGGAGGCCGGCACACAGGCGGAGAUGCGCGCCGUGGGCAGCCACCCCACGGCCAUAUGUGGUGCUUCACGGAUGAGAGCGACAUAUCCGACCAGGGACUACGUUGCGCAGAGUGCGUGGAAGGCACGUCAGCUACAUCUCUUGCGGCAGCUGCGAUCACCGAUUGUGGAUGACUCAGAGGGCACGGCCAAGAACUCAGCGGAGGCUACCGACAGCCCAAGUCGCGCUUUUGAGCAGCGGCAUCGUCCGCCGAAGGACAAGGCCGAUGCCGUGCUCGACGCCGCCGAAGCUGUAGCACUUGAGGAGUGGGCGCAGCACUGGGGUGUUGUGGAGUCGCUGCUGCAGACGCGUUUUUCCGCGUCAUCCUGCAUCGGUACUGGCGAGCCACCGUCGUCCUCGCGUCGCACAGGAAAGGCCCUCUUACAGCGCUUCCCGUCAGAUUCAACGCCACUUACUUGGGACGCUUCUCAGUCGAGUGUGCCGGGGUCCUCUGCAUCACGCUGAGCGAGCUCGCGCCUCUCCCUCCCUCGGAGAGGUCAGAGGCCGCGCGUGCCUCGCGAUUGCAGAUCUGUCGAAGUCUUGUCAUGCGCAUGCCUCUUUUUGCUUGCUUUUGUGCAUGACGGUGGGAUGUGCUGGGG
rnacentral:misc_RNA from 1 species